UGUUGCUGAGCAGUUGGGUUUGGAUGGUUCCUAUAUCCCUCGAACUUAUAUUGAACAGAUACAGCUGGAGAAGCUUGUUAAUGAUGUUAUGGCCUUGCCGGAUGAUUUAAAAACCAAGCUCAGCAUAGACGACGAGUCACUUUCGAGUCCAAAGGAAGCACUUUCCCGAGCUUCUGCAGAUAGGAGAAAUAAGUACCUUAACCGUGGCUUAUCACAAUCAUUUUCAAAUCGGAGGGACAAGACCUUGUCAAAGCUUACAAAGCUUGCUGUUAAUAAUAGGAGAUUUGAUGUGAGGGCUCCAGAUUCCCCUGCAGUAGUCUCUAACCAGGGAGCUAUUACUCAACUUUCAG
rnacentral:misc_RNA from 1 species